CCGACCCAGGGCACGUUGAAAAGUGCUUGGAUGACUUGUGGGUAGCGGAGAAAUUCCAAACGAACUUGGAGAUAGCUGGUUCUCUCCGAAAUAGCUUUAGGGCUAGCGUCGAUGUUAAGUCUCUUGGAGGUAGAGCACUGUUUGGGUGAGGGGUCCAUCCCGGAUUACCAAUCUCAGAUAAACUCCGAAUGCCAACGAGAUAUAAUCGGCAGUCAGACUGCGAGUGCUAAGAUCCGUAGUCGAAAGGGAAACAGCCCAGACCACCAGCUAAGGUCCCAAAAUAUAUGUUAAGUGGAAAAGGAUGUGGGGUUGCACAGACAACUAGGAUGUUAGCUUAGAAGCAGCUAUUCAUUCAAAGAGUGCGUAAUAGCUCACUAGUCGAGUGACCCUGCGCCGAAAAUGUACCGGGGCUAAAACAUAUUACCGAAGCUGUGGAUGACACAAAAGUGUCAUGGUAGGAGAGCGUUCUAUGUGUGAAGAAGGUGUACCGUGAGGAGCGCUGGAACGCAUAGAAGUGAGAAUGCCGGUAUGAGUAGCGCAAGACAGGUGAGAAUCCUGUCCACCGUAAGACUAAGGUUUCCAGGGGAAGGCUCGUCCGCCCUGGGUUAGUCGGGAUCUAAGGAGAGACCGAAAGGUGUAUCCGAUGACAACAGGUUGAUAUUUCCWGUACUAGAGUAUAUAGUGAUGAGGGGACGCAGUAGGCUAACUAACCCAGACGAUUGGAAGUGUCUGGUCAAACAGUGAGGUGUGAUAUGAGUCAAAUGCUUAUAUCUUUAMCAUUGAGCUGUGACGAGGAGCGAAGUUUAGUAGCGAAGUUAGUGAUGUCACACUGCCAAGAAAAGCUUCUAGCGAUACAUAUACUCUACCCGUACCGCAAACCGACACAGGUAGUCGAGGCGAGUAGCCUCAGGUGAGCGAGAGAACUCUCGUUAAGGAACUCGGCAAAAUGGCCCCGUAACUUCGGGAGAAGGGGCGCUGAUUUUAGAUCAGCCGCAGUGAAUAGGCCCAAGCAACUGUUUAUCAAAAACACAGCUCUCUGCUAAAUCGUAAGAUGAUGUAUAGGGGGUGACGCCUGCCCGGUGCUGGAAGGUUAAGAGGAGUGCUUAGCGUAAGCGAAGGUAUGAAUUGAAGCCCCAGUAAACGGCGGCCGUAACUAUAACGGUCCUAAGGUAGCGAAAUUCCUUGUCGGGUAAGUUCCGACCCGCACGAAAGGCGUAAUGAUUUGGGCACUGUCUCAACGAGAGACUCGGUGAAAUUUUAGUACCUGUGAAGAUGCAGGUUACCCGCGACAGGACGGAAAGACCCCAUGGAGCUUUACUGCAGUUUGAUAUUGAGUAUCUGUACCACAUGUACAGGAUAGGUAGGAGCCUAUGAUAACGGGACGCCAGUUUCGUUUGAGGCGUUGUUGGGAUACUACCCUUGUGUUAUGGCUACUCUAACCCAGAUAGGCAAUCCCUAUCGGAGACAGUGUCUGACGGGCAGUUUGACUGGGGCGGUCGCCUCCUAAAAGGUAACGGAGGCGCCCAAAGUUCCCUCAGACC
rnacentral:rRNA from 1 species